UAGUUUGAUUAUCAACAUGAGUGGUGGCAGAGCUGAAUAACAAUUGUGGUGAUAUCCCUUUAUUAUUAAAAGGGAAGUACAAAUUGAAAUUUUGUCUAAUUUGGCCUCAAUUUUGAUUUCAAUUUUGGAUUUUGUUCUUUGCUAUUCAAAAUCAUUAAUGGUAAUUUGGUCUUAACAAUCUCCUAAACUUUAUAUGAUCCGAUUCAAUCUAAACCGUUCAAUAAAAUUAAUUCCCUUCAAUCUAAACCGUUCAACGAAAAUAAGGAAUCUAUGUUGUUUUUGAAAUCAAAAUAUGAUCACAUUCCAUCCCUAAAAACACUAUAUUCAAUCACGAAAUCAAUAAUCAAUAAUAUCCAAAUCAUAUAUUACGAUUCUUCACUAAUCAUUAGAAAUUUAUAUUUAUAAGUUUAGGAUAUCAAAUUUAUUCAAAUAUUUAGUAUAAGAACCAAAUAAACCGAUUGCUCGCGGUUUAGUUAAAUCCUAGUGUAAACAUAUUUACAAUGUCAGAGGAUCUAAUAAUAUUUAUUG
rnacentral:sRNA from 1 species